rnacentral:rRNA from 1 species
GGAAUAUUGGACAAUGGGCGCAAGCCUGAUCCAGCCAUGCCGCGUGAGUGAUGAAGGCCUUAGGGUUGUAAAGCUCUUUUGUCCGGGACGAUAAUGACGGUACCGGAAGAAUAAGCCCCGGCUAACUUCGUGCCAGCAGCCGCGGUAAUACGAAGGGGGCUAGCGUUGCUCGGAAUCACUGGGCGUAAAGGGCGCGUAGGCGGCCGAUUAAGUCGGGGGUGAAAGCCUGUGGCUCAACCACAGAAUUGCCUUCGAUACUGGUUGGCUUGAGACCGGAAGAGGACAGCGGAACUGCGAGUGUAGAGGUGAAAUUCGUAGAUAUUCGCAAGAACACCAGUGGCGAAGGCGGCUGUCUGGUCCGGUUCUGACGCUGAGGCGCGAAAGCGUGGGGAGCAAACA